rnacentral:rRNA from 1 species
AACGAACGCUGGCGGCAUGCCUAACACAUGCAAGUCGAACGAGCCCUUCGGGUCUAGUGGCGCACGGGUGCGUAACGCGUGGGAACCUGCCCUUAGGUUCGGAAUAACUCCCCGAAAGGGGUGCUAAUACCGGAUCAUGUCUUCGGACCAAAGAUUUAUCGCCUUUGGAUGGGCCCGCGUUGGAUUAGCUAGUUGGUAGGGUAAAAGCCUACCAAGGCGACGAUCCAUAGCUGGUCUGAGAGGAUGAUCAGCCACACUGGGACUGAGACACGGCCCAGACUCCUACGGGAGGCAGCAGUGGGGAAUAUUGGACAAUGGGCGAAAGCCUGAUCCAGCAAUGCCGCGUGAGUGAUGAAGGCCUUAGGGUUGUAAAGCUCUUUUACCCGGGAUGAUAAUGACAGUACCGGGAGAAUAAGCUCCGGCUAACUCCGUG